rnacentral:lncRNA from 1 species
CUCCUGGCGCGGCAAGUGGUUCUUCCUCAGCUCUCUCCUGCAGGUAAAAGAUACCUGCUUUCUUCAGCCUAUGUAGACAGCCACAAAUGGGAAGCAAGAGAAAAAGAACAUUACUGUCUUGCUGAUCUUGCAUCUUUAAUGGAUAAAACAUUUGAGAGAAAGUUGCCUGUUAGUUCUUUAACAAUAUCACGGCUUAUAGACAACAUUUCCUCUCGGGAAGAGAUAGAUCAUGCAGAGUAUUACCUUUACAAGUGGAAUUUUACCCGAUGUGAACUGUUAUGUACCUAUUUUCAGUUAACACUGUUUUAAAACCUUUUCUACAUUACCACAUUUACUUCACUCUUUCUCACAGCUGCUAACAAUUCCAUUGUGAACUACCCACAAAACUCAGCCAUGUGUACAAAAAGUAUGUUCAGUGCAACAUCAUUUAUGGUAGCAAAAGACUGAAACAACCUAAUGCACAUUAAAUAAAGAACUGGUCAAACA